rnacentral:lncRNA from 1 species
UCAUUUUAAUAAACUCUACAUAAAUCUAAUUAAGAUUCCACAUGUACUACCAAUCGUCUCUAGAGCAAGUGGCAAAGGGUUUGAUGGUUGGUAUCCGAGACCUAAGUUCGAAUCCUAAUUGAUUCACAUUUCUAGCUAAGUUUAUUUCUAAAUGAAAUAAACGAAACAGGUACCGUGCUACCUAUCUCUCUCUCAAAAAAAAAAAAAAGAAAAAAAAAAAAGAUUCGACAUGUACUUCUUCUUGGCUCACAAAAAGAAGAACAUGUCAUCUACGAACUUGAUAAGCGACGCCUUACUCUCUACUGCGGGACCAAUCCCUUCAAUCAGAUUGUGCUUGGAUUGCCCUGUUUGACAUUCUUGCUAACACUCAGCCACUAACAAAAAAAGGAAAGGAGUUUGGGAAUCGCCCUGACG